GAUGAACGCUGGCGGCGUGCCUAAUACAUGCAAGUCGAGCGAACAGACGAGGAGCUUGCUCCUCUGACGUUAGCGGCGGACGGGUGAGUAACACGUGGAUAACCUACCUAUAAGACUGGGAUAACUUCGGGAAACCGGAGCUAAUACCGGAUAAUAUAUUGAACCGCAUGGUUCAAUAGUGAAAGACGGUUUUGCUGUCACUUAUAGAUGGAUCCGCGCCGCAUUAGCUAGUUGGUAAGGUAACGGCUUACCAAGGCAACGAUGCGUGGCCGACCUGAGAGGGUGAUCGGCCACACUGGAACUGAGACACGGUCCAGACUCCUACGGGAGGCAGCAGUAGGGAAUCUUCCGCAAUGGGCGAAAGCCGGACGGAGCAACGCCGCGUGAGUGAUGAAGGUCUUCGGAUCGUAAAACUCUGUUAUUAGGGAAGAACAAAUGUGUAAGUAACUAUGCACGUCUGGACGGUACCUAAUCAGAAAGCCACGGCUAACUACGUG
rnacentral:rRNA from 1 species